CUCUCCGGCCAGACCACCCUGAUCGAGCCUGAUCUUGGAAGCUAAGCAGGGUUGGGCCUGGUUAGUACUCGGGUGGGAGAUGGGUCCCCCUCGGCACCUGCUUCAGCCCCUCAGCUCCUGGUUGCUGAGUUGA
ensembl:rRNA 5S_rRNA 5S ribosomal RNA